rnacentral:rRNA from 1 species
AUUGAACGCUGGCGCAAUGCUUUACACAUGCAAGUCGAACGGCAGCACGGGUGCUUGCACCUGGUGGCGAGUGGCGAACGGGUGAGUAAUACAUCGGAACGUACCCAGUCGUGGGGGAUAACGUAGCGAAAGUUACGCUAAUACCGCAUACGUCCUGAGGGAGAAAGCGGUGGACCGUAAGGCCUCGCGCGAUUGGAGCGCACGAUGGCGGAUUAGCUAGUUGGGGGGGUAAAGGCCUACCAAGGCGACGAUCCGUAGCGGGUCUGAGAGGACGGCCCGCCACACUGGAACUGAGACACGGUCGAGACGCCUACGGGAGGCAGCAGUGGGGAAUUUUGGACAAUGGGCGAAAGCCUGAUUCAGCCAUUCCGCGUGAGUGAAGAAGGCCUUCGGGUUGUAAAGCUCUUUCGGCAGGGAAGAAACGGCUUGGGAUAAUACCCCGGGCUAAUGACGGUACCUGAAGAAGAAGCACCGGCUAACUACGUGCCAGCCGCCGCCGUAA